rnacentral:rRNA from 1 species
CAGAUCUAGCUUGCUAGAUGCUGACGAGUGGCGCACGGGUGCGUAACGCGUAUACAAUCUACCUUUAACUGAGGGAUAGCCCAGAGAAAUUUGGAUUAAUACCUCAUAGUAUUAUAAUUAGGCAUCUUUUUAUAAUUAAAACUUCGGUGGUUAAAGAUGAGUAUGCGUACUAUUAGCUAGUUGGUAAGGUAAAAGCUUACCAAGGCAACGAUAGUUAGGGGGCCUGAAAGGGUGAUCCCCCACACUGGUACUGAGACACGGACCAGACUCCUACGGGAGGCAGCAGUGAGGAAUAUUGCACAAUGGAGGAAACUCUGAUGCAGCCAUGCCGCGUGCAGGAAGAAUGCCCUAUGGGUUGUAAACUGCUUUUAUACAAGAAGAAACCUCGGUACGUGUACCGACUUGACGGUAUUGUAUGAAUAAGCACCGGCUAACUCCGUGCCAGCAGCCGCGGUAAUACGGAGGGUGCAAGCGUUAUCCGGAUUUAUUAGGUUUAAAGGGUCCGCAGGCGGAAUAUUAAGUCAGUGGUGAAAGCCUACAGCUCA